rnacentral:rRNA from 1 species
AUUGAACGCUGGCGGCAGGCCUAACACAUGCAAGUCGAGCGAGCGGCGGACGGGUGAGUAAUGUGUGGGGCCUGCGCGAGAGAGGGGGAUAACUAGGGGAAACGGUGGCUAAUACCGCAUCCUCUCGUAUAACCCAUAUGGGAUUAUCGAGUGGGGGGGGUAAAGGCUCACCUAGGCGACGAUCUCUAGCUGGUCUGAGAGGAUGAUCAGCCACACGGGGACGGAGACACGGCCCAGACUCCUACGGAGGCAGCAGUGGGGAAUAUUGCACAAUGGGCGCAAGCCUGAUACAGCCAUGCCGCGUGUAUGAAGAAGGCCUUAGGGUUGUAAAGUACUUUCAGCGGGGAGGCGUUACCCGCAGAAGAAGCACCGGCUAACUCCGUGCCAGCAGCCGCGGUAAUAC